ACGACGAAGGUACUCAAUGACAAAGCGAAGAUGAUGGUUAACUUGAUUGCUCAAAAUGGAUCCAUUAGCCAUAAAUUUUGGCUCGUCCAUGAGCGCAUGAAUGGUAUCACGGGCAAAAGGGCCUGCUUGAGACCCAGAAAUAAGCUGAGAUAGCUGCAAAACCAAAGAAGUAGUAAGAGGAAAUUGACCCUGGAUAUCCCAUAGCUUUGUAGUCAAAAGACGAUAGAUUUUGUGCAAAGGUACGCCCAAGAAACCGACAUGACCUAGAAGAUCAAAACCACGACGACCAGCACGACCAGCGGCUUGAUGGAAAUUCAAGGCGUUAAGCUGUAAACUAUCUCCCAAAAAUACCACAGUUCGGCAUGGCAUGUUGAUACCAAGAGAGAGUGUACGAGUAGCAAUUACAACUGUAAGCUGACCACAUCUAAACAAAACUUCGACGAUUUGACGGUAACGUCUGUUAAGACCAGAAUGAUGAAUAC